CACCACUACCAGCCCCAGGCCUACCAGCCGGCCUAUAAGGAGCGGGAGCGGGAGAGGUCCAGGGACCGGGACCGGGAACUGUCCAGGGACCGGGAGAGGGACAAGGAGAGGGAGGGCUACAUGAGGAGGGCCGAGCAGACCGCUGCUAACGCCUCUGCGGCCGACGGCGCUCCCCAGCAGGGGGCGCAGACGCAGCCGCCGCAGAGACCCUCUUUCCUCCGGAUGGAGAGUCAAGCCGAUGCUUAUAUCCUGUCGCUCACCCCUCCCUCUCCGCCACCGACCGGUACGCAGCAGACGUCGAACACUGGCGGCGGCACCGGGAGUGGACUCAUGGUUCUUCCCCCGCCUGCGCCCUCGGUCGAUGCAGACGAUGAGUUUGUGUACGCAGACCCCCUCCCGCCGCCGCUGGAGUUCGCCAACAGCUUCGACAGGGGGAUGCCAGGAUAUUCACAACACCGCAUGCUUUCUAACAGCCUGGCGUCGCGCCAGCAGCAGGUCCCGCCCCCUCCACCUCCUCCUCCGCCCCCGCCGCCGCCUCCCCCGGCUCAGAAGGAGCAGUUCGCCGGCGGGUUUCCGGCCCACACGCCCCUGACCUCCCCUCAGGCCGGCGACUCCACCGCGUCCAGCCUCACGUCGUACGACAGUGAGGUUGCCAACCUGACUCAGUCCGUCCCUUCCCCGUCGCAAACAUCGCCCAACCCCCCGCCCCCUCCCUCGCCCUCCACCCUGCAGCCCACCUCCGGCCCCCCGCCUCCACCCUCGGUCUCGCCCCCGCCGCCUCCGGGCUCCUACCACAGACCGUUCUCCAUCUCCCACCAUCUUUACAACAGCACUCACGCCUCAGGGCGCUCCUCUCCCACGCCGCCUCCGCAUUCCGUCGCCCCUCCCCCAGCCUACCGUGGCCCUCCGGCCUCCACCGCCGCCGCCGCCCCACACAGGGGCGCCGCCGCCCACGCCACGACCGCUUCCUGUGCCGCUACGACCACCGCCGCUGCCGCCACAACGAGCACCUCCACCCAGCUCUACCAAGAGCGGACUCACACUGCACACUCGGCGCCGUCCGCCGUGGUCACGGGCGGCCGCCGGGCCGGGGAGCACCACCGUCCCCCGCCCGCCGCCAAGAAAGGGGAGUCCCAGGAGACAGUGGUGGACUCUGGGAUUGAGGAGCUGGACAGCCGCAGCAGCAGCGACCAUCACCUGGACAGCAUCCUGGCUCUGAGCGGCGCCCGGGG
rnacentral:lncRNA from 1 species